AUUGAACGCUGGCGGCAUGCCUUACACAUGCAAGUCGAACGGCAGCACGGGUGCUUGCACCUGGUGGCGAGUGGCGAACGGGUGAGUAAUACAUCGGAACAUGUCCUGUAGUGGGGGAUAGCCCGGCGAAAGCCGGAUUAAUACCGCAUACGAUCUGCGGAUGAAAGCGGGGGACCUUCGGGCCUCGCGCUAUAGGGUUGGCCGAUGGCUGAUUAGCUAGUUGGUGGGGUAAAGGCCUACCAAGGCGACGAUCAGUAGCUGGUCUGAGAGGACGACCAGCCACACUGGGACUGAGACACGGCCCAGACUCCUACGGGAGGCAGCAGUGGGGAAUUUUGGACAAUGGGCGAAAGCCUGAUCCAGCAAUGCCGCGUGUGUGAAGAAGGCCUUCGGGUUGUAAAGCACUUUUGUCCGGAAAGAAAUCCUUGGCUCUAAUACAGUCGGGGGAUGACGGUACCGGAAGAAUAAGCACCGGCUAACUACGUG
rnacentral:rRNA from 1 species